CCAAUAGCGUAUAUUAAAGUUGUUGCAGUUAAAAAGCUCGUAGUUGAAUUUCGGGGUUAGUAGGCUGGUCAUGCCUCCGGUAUGUACUGGUCUCACUGAUUCCUCCUCCCUGAUGAACCGUAAUGCCAUUAAUUUGGUGUUGCGGGGAAUUUGGACUGUUACUUUGAAAAAAUUAGAUUGUUUAAAGCAAGCUAACGCUUGAAUACAUUAGCAUGGAAUACUGAAAUAGGACUUUCGAUCCUAUUUUGUUGGUUUCUAGGAUUGACGUAAUGAUUAAUAGGGAUAGUUGGGGGCAUUAGUAUUCAAUUGUCAGAGGUGAAAUUCUUGGAUUUAUUGAAGACUAACUACUGCGAAAGCAUUUGCCAAGGAUGUUUUCAUUAAUCAAGAACGAAAGUUAGGGGAUCGAAGACGAUCAGAUACCGUCGUAGUCUUAACCAUAAACUAUGCCGACUAGGGAUCGGAUGAUGUUAAUUUUUUAAUGACUCAUUCGGCGCCUUACG
rnacentral:rRNA from 1 species